GACGAACGCUGGCGGCGUGCCUAAUACAUGCAAGUUGAGCGCUGAAGGUUGGUACUUGUACCAACUGGAUGAGCAGCGAACGGGUGAGUAACGCGUGGGGAAUCUGCCUUUGAGCGGGGGACAACAUUUGGAAACGAAUGCUAAUACCGCAUAAAAACUUUAAACACAAGUUUUAAGUUUGAAAGAUGCAAUUGCAUCACUCAAAGAUGAUCCCGCGUUGUAUUAGCUAGUUGGUGAGGUGAAGGCUCACCAAGGCGAUGAUACAUAGCCGACCUGAGAGGGUGAUCGGCCACAUUGGGACUGAGACACGGCCCAAACUCCUACGGGAGGCAGCAGUAGGGAAUCUUCGGCAAUGGACGAAAGUCUGACCGAGCAACGCCGCGUGAGUGAAGAAGGGUUUCGGAUCGUAAAACUCUGUUGGUAGAGAAGAACGUUGGUGAGAGUGGAAAGCUCAUCAAGUGACGGUAACUACCCAGAAAGGGACGGCUAACUACGUG
rnacentral:rRNA from 1 species